rnacentral:lncRNA from 1 species
AUGCACUCAACCCUGGCUGACAUCAGAAUCACCUGGACUAUUUUCCAGAGAUUAUUUUUUAAUCGAUCUGCAGUGGUACCCUAUCCCGGCCCGCGGGAUCGUCGAAGCAGGCCCUGGAGGGGGGAGUGGGAAUUUGGGGGACAAGAGACACGAGAAAUGGAGACAAGACAGUGCUCUGAUCAAGUCUCGUUUAAUGGCGGUAAUGCAAUGCCUUAUAUACACUUGGAGGGGAAGGGGUUGGGCCAGAGGCGGAGAUGAUCUCAUCGCAGAGGGCGUGACCAGGUAGGUAUUGGUUUCUCCGGUCGGACGUCAUGUUGCGCCUGCGCUGUCAGUUGGAAACUUUCCCGGGCGCGAGAUGGCGCCUGCGCUACAAAGUAACAUUUUUCGCGGGCGCGGGAAAAAUAGGUGAAGAAGAAGCAGGAAGAGCGCCAUCUUGUGCUGGCAUAUGAGACAGCAGAUCAGGGAAAAAGGUAAAUCUAGGGAGGAGGUGUAAGGUGGAAAUGAAUAAAGCUCAGGCGUUUUUAAUCGUCAGUUAUUAUUCGCUAUGGCCGGGGCACGCAGCUCCGGACAGUACCCCACCUUGGAUAUUUUGGUGUUAAUUUAUAAAUUAAGAGACUCUAAUAUGCAGGCAAGAUCAAGAAUCACUGCACACGUUACUUGAUAUUUUUUCCUAUUUAUUUUUAUUUAUUGUUAUGUUCUCUUUAACAUGAAGUAUACCUAACCAGCAACAGGAUAUGUUUAUCUAUUUGUUCAAGUCUUUUAUUUUGGACAGUGAAUUAUUGUAGAGUCACAUGUUACUGAACAAUGGGGACACCUUCUGAGAAAUAUGCCAUUAGACAAUGUUGUCAGUGUGCAGACAUCAUAGACUAUACUUACACAAACCUAGAUUGUACAGCCUACUACAUACCUAGUCUGUAUGGUAUAGCCUGUUGCUCCUAGGCUGCUAACCUGUAUAGCAUGUUACCGUACUGAAUACAGGACAGUAGGCAAUCAUAACACAAUGGUGAGUAUUUGUGUAUCUAUGUAAACAUAGAACAGGCACUCUGGGAUACCAAAGCAGGAGGAUCACUUGAGCCCAGGAGUUCAAGACCAACCUGGGCAAUAUAGCAAGACCCUAUCUCUGCAAAAAAAAGAAAGGAAAAGAAAAAGAAAGAAAGAAGAAAAUCUGCCAGGCAUGGUGGCAUGUGCCUGUAGUCCAAGGUACUCAGAAGGCUGAAGCAGAAGGAUCUCUUGCACCCAGGAGUUUGAGGUUGCAGUGAGCUACGAUCAUGCCACUGCACUCCAGCCUGAGUAAUAGAGUGAAACUGUGUCUCCUAAAAAAAUUAAAAAAGAAAAUAAAAAACAUAUAGAAAGGUACAGUAAGAAUCAGUAUGAAAGAUUUUUAAAUGGUGUGAUAAAUGGAGCUUGCAGUACUACAGGCUGCUCUGGGUGAGUCAGUGAGUGAGUGGUGAGUGAAUGUGAAGGCCUGAGACUCACUGUGCUCUCCUGUAGACUUUAUAAACACUGUACACUUAGGCUAUACUACAUUUAUUUUAAAAUUUUUCUUUCUUCAACAAUAAAUUAGCCUCAGCUUACUGUAAUAUUUUACUUUAUAAACUUUUAAAUUUAAAAAAUUUUUUGACUCUUAUAAUAACAUUUAGCUUAAAACAGAAACAUUGCACAGCUGUACAAAAAUAUUUUUCCUUUAUAUCCUUAUUCUAGAAGAUUUUUUCUAUUUUUAAUUUUUAAUUUUUUUACUUUUUAAGAUUUUUUAUUAAAAAUGAAGAUACAAACACAGAGAUUAGCCUAGGCCUACACAGGGUCAGGAUGACCAAUAUUACUAUUUGUUUCUUUUUUCUUUUUUUUUUUUUUUGAGGCGGAGUUUUGCUCUUGUUGCCCAGGCCGGAAUGCAAUGGCACAAUCUUGGCUCACCACAACCUCGGCCUCCCAGGUUCAAGCGAUUCUCCUGCCUCAGCCUCCUGAGUAGCUGGGAUUACAGGCAAGGUCCACCAUGCUAAGCUAAUUUUUGUAUUUUUAGUAGUGACAGGGUUUCUCCAUGUUGGUCAGGCUGGCCUCGAACUCCCGACCUCAACUGAUCCACCCUCCUUGACCUCCCAAAAUGCUAGGAUUACAGGCGUGAGCCACCACACCUGGCUGAAUAUUACUAUUUUCAACCUCCACAUCUUAUCCCACUGGGAGGUCUUCAGAAACAAUAACACACAUAGAGUUAUCUCCUACGAUAACAAUGCCUUCUUCUAGAAUACCCCCUGAAGGAUUUGCCAGAGCCUGUUUUACAGUUAAAAAAAAAAGUGCAAGUACAUUCUAAAAUAAUGAUAAAAAGUGUAGUACAGUAAAUACAUAAGCCAAUAACAUAGUUGUUUAUUAUCAUUAUCAAGUGUUAUGUACUACACAUAAUUGUAUGCACUAUAUUUUUAUAUGACUGGUGGCAAGGUAGGUUUGUUUACACCAGCAUCACCAAAAACAUGUGAGUAAUGCAUUGCAUUAAAUUUUUACUAUGGCUACGAUGUCACUAGGUGAUAGGAAUUUUUCAGCUGCAUUAUAAUUUUAUGGGACCUCGUUGUAUAUGUGGUCUGUCAUUGACAAAAACAUCAUUAUGGCAGUGCAUGAGUGUCAUUCUCUUUGCAUAGGUUUUGUAUGUCACUUAUUAGAUUAAUUUUUAAAUGUGUGAUGUAUUUAGACUUUCCACCCCAAAAUCAGGUUAAAGUAAAUCUAAUCACCCUAAUUAUGGAGUUUCAUGUAUCUUUGAUCAACUGCUUUGUGUAAAGAGCUACCAAUGUGUGUGUGUCUAUGUUUUUGCAUUGCUCAGAAAAGAAUUCUUAUUACUGAGCCAGUAGAGUUGUCUCUAGUUGUUCUUGUUACCUAAGAGCUCCAGAGUACUAAUACUAGUCAGCCAGUGGAGAUCUUUUAGUUCACUUAUUGACUGUUUAUGUGCUAGGAGCUGAAGGCAGAUGGAUAGGAUAGCUUCUCCAUUCUGAGGCAGUAAGAGUUAGUAAUGGCUAUUUAAAAACAACCAGUGUUUCAACUCUCCCUUACGUAUCUGCUUCAAGGGGUCAGAAUAGCUGAGGGAAGGAAUUCUGAGCAUAUGUUAGUAAAGUGUAGGGGUUAAGAGCAUUGGCCCUGGAGGCAAACAGCCUGGAUCACAUCCUCACUUCUCUACUAACUGGUCAUGUGGCCUUGCGCAAGUAACUUCAUCUUUCUACACUCAGUCUUCUGUAAAGA